CAAAAACAUCGCCUCCUGCAAAGAUCAAUGUAUAGGAGGUCUUGCCUGCCCAGUGACCCUAGGUUAAACGGCCGCGGUAUUUUGACCGUGCAAAGGUAGCGCAAUCACUUGUCUUUUAAAUAAAGACCCGUAUGAAUGGUGAAACGAGGGCUUAACUGUCUCCCCCCUCUAGUCAAUGAAAUUGAUCCACCCGUGCAGAGGCGGGUAUAAUUAUACAAGACGAGAAGACCCUUUGGAGCUUAAGAUAAAACACCAACUAUGUCAAUAGCCCAAAACACUAAACUAAAUAGCACUGGUUUUAAAUCUUCGGUUGGGGCGACCACGGGAGAAAAUAAAGCUCCCACGCGGAAUGGGGUAUACCUAAAACCAAGAGAGACACCUCUAAGACACAGAACAUCUGACCAAAAGAUCCGGCCACUUGCCGACCAACGAACCAAGUUACCCAAGGGAUAACAGCGCAAUCCCCUUCCAGAGUCCAUAUCGACAAGGGGGUUUACGACCUCGAUGUUGGAUCAGGAUAUCCUAAUGGUGCAGCCGCUAUUAAGGGUUC
rnacentral:rRNA from 1 species